AGGGGUAGUCGGGUGGUCGUUCGCCUUUCGGCGAAAGGAAAGUCCGGACUCCUGCAGGGAAGAUGGCUCCUAACAGGAGCAGUCCGUAAGAACUGGAAAGUGCCACAGAAAUUAUACCUCCCAUCAAUACAUAGGUGGGAAAGGGUGAAAUGGCGAGGUAAGGGCUCACCGUCCAGCAGGUAACUGCUGAAGCAAAGGUAAACCCCAUCUGGAGCAAGGUCAAGUAGAACCUCAGGGUCCCUGCCCCAACAGGUUCGGGUUGACUGCUUGAACCUGAAGGCAACUUCAGGUCCAGAUGAAUGACCACUAGAACAGAAUCCGGCUUAUGAACUACCCCUUUUA
rnacentral:RNase_P_RNA from 1 species